CGGAGAGCCCCGCGCUGGGAGAAGUCAGACUGCCACUUCUCUCCCCGACACCUCUGAGGGCAGACCCAACCUCCAAUUGUCCAUCUCAACUCUCCUCUGACAGAGGGGGAAACUGAGACCUGGAGAUUCCAUAAAGGUUAACAGCAGCCUACAGUAAGAGGUGGAGCGCCCCGAGAACAUGAGUCUCUGAGAGCCACAGUAAGUGCUUCCAACAGCCCUUGCGUUCCAAAAACUUCAUUCCCGAGAGGCGGAGAGGGGCCCUGGGGUCUGCCUAAGGUUCCUCCGUGGGACCCGGUUCCCAGAUUUCUCUGGAGGAAACUGCAUGGUUUCGGUUUUGCCACGGCUUCGGCUGGGCCAAGGGCUCCUGGGUGGUCGGGAGAGCCACGCAGACCCUCUUUCAGAAGACGCAGGUGAGAGCGAGAAGAGCCAACCUCUUCUUCCGUGCCUCAGGGUACUUCGUGCCUCCUGGUACUUCGGGAACACGGUGCACAACAGUGCUCCUCCUACCCCACUCAUUCUAGAACCAUCCCAGUCCUGGGCCUGGGCGAGGUGGUGAUCCAGGAAAAGCGUCCGCCAUUGCGUUUCCUAAAACAUCCCAUCAACCCGAACCGGUUUAAGGUUCUCAACAGCAGAGACAUGCAAGGAGAAUAAACGAAGGGCCCGGACCACAGGCGCUCGUUCUAAAGGAGUCUGCGCUGGUCGGGACCAAACGUCACGCGCGUGGACGCCCGCGCGGGUAUAAGAGAAUCACCGGCCGACGUCGCUCGGGGGGAAUCGACUGAAGACGGCGAACAAGCCUGCCUUGUCCUAACGCAUCAGGUUGCAAACUCUCUCCCUGGUUUACAUUACGAGGAGGCGCGCCAAGGGCAUCUGCUCCGGCCUUAAAUGCCUGCGGUAGCAUUUGGAAUCGGGUAAGCUGGGUUCCUGUCCGUGGCUGGAGCCUCGCGUGGCCGCUGCCUGAGCGAAACCUGAGAGACCGCCUAAGGCGCGCACUCUCCACCAGCACAGGCGCGGCUCAGGCAAGCCACCUGGUCACUGCCCCACGGUUCUUCCUGGGUGCCAGUGUGUGCCAGCACCGUAUUAAUACCUGGGGAGCUCCUGGACAUUUUGGCGCGGCGGGGCGGGGAGGCAGGCCCGGGAUGCUCACCCGCGCUGCUCCCAACCUGACCCCACCAUCUACACACGUCUAAAAAGUGCAAUGCCUAGUGAUAAUUUGGAGGCGCCAAAAGCAGGGGAAAAAAAAAAAAACAACUCGUGGCCCGAGGCCUGGCCGCACUCUGUACCCUUCCCCUUGUUCCAUUCCCGUGAGGGGAGGAUUCGCGGGGCCCCAGGCGGACUCCCGGCUCAUGCGAACCGCUAGGCUCCCCGCUCUGCCGCGCUGUGGAGAAUGUCGGGAGCCUCUACUGGCGUGCGCUCCCCCGCUCCCUGGCCAACGCUUCCGCCACCCGCACGGCCAUAGCGGAGGCUGCGGGGCCAGAGCUGAGAUCCGGGACGGGGGAGGGGAGAGGAGAGGCCACGCGCGGCGACAGCUCCGGCGCCGCCGCCUCGCGCUCCCCCGCCGACUCACCCUGGUUGCGAAUAGCUGGCUGGCUCUCGAGGCAGCUGGGCAGGUAUGGUGCGUUGGGGAACAUCCUGGCCUGGCCAGAGGAGGCCUGGCUGGGCGGAGGAGGGCCGAAGGGCCCGUAGCGGCAGGCUCCCGCUGUGCCGGUGAACUGGCCCGAGAAGUGGACCGUGAAGGCGCUCAGGCACUGCUCCUCGUGCGGCUCCGCGCCGCCCCAGCUCGGCUCCUGUUUGAUGAAGGAGUGAGGCGGCGGCGGCGGCGGCGGGGGUGGCGGCGGAGCGGGCGGCGGCGCGGGGCCGCCCAGCGAACCGUAAGCCGAGGCGCCCGGGGGCGCGAAAUCCAGCACCGGCGCCCACUGCGCGGCGCCGCUCACUGGCAGGGUGCAGCCGCCGCCGCCGCCCAGCGAGGGGACGGCCGGCAGCAGCGCAUUCAGGUCCCGCACGUCGGAGCCCAUCUGCUGCAGCUCAACCGCGGACGCCCCGCGGCCUCUCCGGCCCUGCGGACGCUCGGCGCUGGACUCGGCCGCACCUAACUUGGCCCAGAUGCCGCCCGGGCCCCGAACUCCCGGCUGCUCGGGCUGCUGAAGGCACGCGGGCCCCGAGCAGAGCGCGUGCUGAGAUGCCGGCUCCGGGGCACACGUGGAAUCCGGCUCCUGCGGCGGGAGGAAGUCCAGGAUCGCGGCGAGGAGGCGGCAGGGCCCCGGAUCCUGGGCUGCCGUCCCGGCUCUGGGUGGCUGGGUGGGUGGGUGCGUGAGUGGGAGGUAGGGCGGGAAGGGGGGAGCCGACAGGCGGUCGGCUUGCGGAGAGCCCCCGGGUGUGGGCGCUGCCUUGAACUCCUUACCCCAGCUGCCUGGCUGCCCCCAGCUUCCCAAAGCUCAAAUAAGAGGGGCCGGCGGCGGGGGAGGAGGAGGAGCCUGGAGGCUCGGCCGCUCCAUUCACACCGCAGCCCUAGCCGCGCUGGUCAGCGCGCACAGCUCCUUGGGGGCGCCCUCGCCGCGGGGGCGGGGGGGGGCGGGCCUGAGGGAGCGUCCCUCGCCGAGACACCCUCCUCUCCCACCCGCCACGCGCUCUCAGCAGGCCUGUGUGGCGCAGCCCUCCCCCCACCGCCCCAUCCUAGCUUUCAGGAGUGUGGGCGCCUCAAGGCCGCGGGCGAGUCCCUCCAGGUGGGUCGCACACAUGACGAACACCGUAGAGACCACCUACUUGCUUUCUGAGCUCCAGCAUAGCCAUUUUCAAAAGUUGAGAGUCUGAGACAGCAGACCUUCUUUGCUUUAAAAGAAAUGAGGAGGAUUACUUGCUAGCCAAUGACAUUGUGGCCUGGAAUUCAAAGAACCUGUUCUGAUCCUGGGAGUUGCCCAAUUGGUGAAUCGUUUCUGCUUGUUUUGUUCAGCUUUGCUUAAAUGGCCCCUACUGAGUUUAACUGGGCUAAGGAAUCUUCCUCUGCACAGUUUUGGCAUGGUAGUCAGGCUCAGAGCUGAGCUCCACCAACCCCUGAACAUCAGGAAACCAGACGCAAACAAACAAAAAAGAAAUCAUGAUGGGAAGAGAACUGGGGCGUGUGACAAGGUCAAGCAGAAACUGAGCUGGAUUCAAUAGGAAUGGGACUGGGUCGUGAGUCCUGGGGGUCCACCUGGGUUGGACCGAAAUUAGAGGACAGCAUCCUGGGUUCAUCUGGAGUCAUGUGCACUCCCUCAGGGGUCUCUUUUACAUCUGGCUGGGUUAGUGAACUCUCCCCAGCCCAAGUUGGUGACCUGUGACCUCUCACCAUUCACAAUAGAGAUGACAUAUGUGGGCGAGGAAGCCCCUCAGCCUCUGUUCUCCCACCAUCCGGCAUUAGCUGCUGGGAUAAAGAUGCUUCCUCAGACCCAGAAGAAGCUCCUGGCUCUUGGCUUUGAAUAGGCGCAGCUCCAGCUAUGGCGGCCAACUGGGGAGUGAACCAUUGGAUGGAAGACCUCUCUCUCUCUGCCUUUCCUCUCUCUGUGUAACUCUGGCUUUCAAAUAAAUAAGUCUUUUUAAAAAAAGCUAUUGAUUUUUGUGUUAAUUUUAUAACCUACCACUUUACCAAACUCUUUUAUGAUUUGCAAUAGUCUCAGUGGAAUUUUUGGAUCUCCUAUAUUUAGAAUAUGCAAAUAGGGAUAGUUUGACAUCCUCCUUCCCAAUUUGUAUCCCUUUGAUUUCUCUUUCUUGCCUAACGGCUUUGUCUAAAACUUUGAAUACAGUAUUGAAGAGUGUUGGUGAGAGUAGGUACCCUUGUCUAGUUCUGGGUGAAUGCUUCCAACUUUUUUCCAUUCAAUAAGAUGCUGGCUGUAGGUUUGUCAUAAAUUGUCUUUAUUGUGUUGAGGAAUGUUCUUUCUAAAUGCAAUUUGCUUAAGGUUUUCUUCAUGAAAGGAUAUUGUAUUUUAUCAAAUGCUUUUUAUGCAUCUGAGAUAAUCAUACAUUUUUUGUUCUUCAGUUUGUUAAUGUGAUGUAUCGAAUUGAUUGAUUUGCAAAUAUUGAACCAUUCCUGCAUACCAGGAAAAAUCUCACUUGAUAUGGGUGAAUGAUCUUUCUGAUAUGUUGUUGGAUUUGAUUAGCUUAUAUUUUGCUGAUGAUUUUUUUUUUUUUUGACAGACAGAGUGGACAGUGAGAGAGAGAGAGAGAGACAGAGAGAAAGGUCUUCCUUUACUGUUGGUUCACGCUGCAAUGGCCGCUGUGGCCGGGGCACUGUGGCCUGUGCACUGCGCUGAUCCGAAACCAGGAGCCAGGUGCUUCUCCUGGUCUCCCAUGCAGGUGCAGGGCCCAAGCACUUGGGCCAUCCUCCACUGUACUCCCGGGCCACAGCAGAGAGCUGGCCUGGAAGAGGGGCAACCGGGACAGAAUCCGGUGCCCCAACCAGGACUAGAACCCGGUGUGCUGGCGCCACAGGUGGAGGAUUAGCCUAUUGAGCCGGGCGCUGGCCUAUUGAUGAUUUUUACAUCUAUAUUCAUCCGGAUGAACUAUUACAAAAAAAAAAAAAACUAAUAGAUUUCUAAUUAACAAACAUGUUUCAAUUCUAUUUUCUAUGACCUUUUUGAAGUCUUCACAUAGGAACUAGAUAGCUCAAUCCAGAGUCAGGGAGAUGGGAAUGAAGAUAGAAGUGAAACCUGGGGAGCUUUCCUAGAUGCUUCAUCCAGAUGCCCAGAUGGGUGCAAAGCCACAGUUCUGUGUGGGAGCACACAAUAGAGGGUGCUGGGGGAGACUGGGCUGGAAUGUAGAGUGCAUGUGCAGGGAGCAGUGUCGUCUGAGUAGGUAAGAUGAGGCCAGCUGGGACACCAGAGGCCCACAGGCAGGAGCCCUGUGAACAGGACAAGUAAACAGGUCUAGAGUUUGAUGAACAAGCCUGCAUCCUUGUAAUCAGUAUGACUCUCGGAGGCCUGGUAAGUUAUUUUUGUUGUUCAGCCACCUGCUGAGGUAUCAGUUUCAGCUCUGCUGCUUAUUAGCUGCAUGGCUUAGCAAAAAUUAUAUAUCCUCUCUGUUCUUUCAUGUAUUAUCUGUAAAAUGGAAAUCAUAAUACAUACACCAUGCCAUGGUUUGGAUAUGGUUUAGGUUUGUCUUCAAGUCCUCUUGUGGUGAGAGUGUGGUCCUGAGUGUGGCAAUGUUAAGAGGCGGUAGCAGAGGGGGAUGUCAUCAAGUCAUCGGGGCAUGCUUUUUUUUCUUAUUGAAAGAUUUUUAUGGUUAAUUUUAUGUUGAUUUGACAAAUCAUAAUAGUAUACUUUUAUGGAGUAUGUGGUGAUAUGUUUGUGAUACAUGAUGAUUAAGUCAAGCUGAUUAAUGUGUCUGCCACCUCGCUUGCCUAUCACUUUUUUCCCCCACCUUCCAUGAACUUAUUUUUUACUUGUAUAUAUCUUAAAAUACAACAUUAGGAACAUAGUAAUUCUUCCCACCCACUCCCCCACCCCAUGAUUAUCUUUUUUUAGAAAACUUUUAUGUAAUAAAUAUAAAUUUCAAAAGUACAACUUUUGGAUUAUAGUGGUUUUUCCCCCAUAACCAGCCUCCCCGGGGUAUGCUUUGUAAGGGAUCAAUAUGGCUCUCAAGAGACCCUACUUGUUCUCUGGUUUCCUGUCUCACCAUGGCCUCUUUGCCCAGUAGUGAUUACUGGGCCAAUGUCUUUAUACGAGCAAAUGCCCUUCUUCAGUUCUUGUCAUUCUAACUGUUGGCUUUGAAUCCACCCACCAUUCUUCCCCUGUGAUGUGCAUUAUUUUAACAACUGUACUAAUGAUGAAGGAAUAAAAAGAUAGGAGGGGCCAGCGUUGUGGUGCAGCAGUUUAAGCCAUUGCCUUCAAUGCCUGCAUCCCAUAUCAGAGUGCCAUUUUGAGUCCCACUGCUCUGCUUCCAAUCCAGCUUCCUGAAAAUUACUCCUGGGAAAGCAGCAGAUGAUGGCCCCUGUGCCCCUCUACCCAUGUGGGAAACCCACAUGGAGUUCCUGGCUUUGGCCUGGCCCAGCUCUGGCUCUGGCAGAAAAGAGGUUAAUUGUGACCCACGGUUCUGGAGGUGCAAAGUGUUAGCUGGUGAUGGUCUUUGUACAAUACAGAAGAUCACAUGGAAAGAGACAAGGAGUGCACACAUGUAUGACUGCUUAUAAAGCCAUCAGGAUUAAUCACAGGGCCCCACCUAAUGACUUUGUCUAGUCAUGGUCACAUCUUUAAGGCCCUACCUCUAAACGCCAUGGCCCAAUUAAGUUUCCAUCCUCUUCAUAUUUUAUAAUGGGGAUUAAAUUCCAACACAUGAAGCCUUAGGGAACACUUCUUGCACUUUACUAAACCCCAGCACCAUUUGCGUUAGGAUUUUUAAGUUCCUGAACCUCUCAAGCUUUUUCUGAUUAUCAUUUCCUAGGCUAAUUUCUCACCACUCCUACCCCACAUGAAAUCCACAGAUGCCCAAGUCGCCUGUGGCCUGAUGACGGUCAGGCCAUCACCACUAAUGGGCUGAAUGCAGCUUUCACAGUGAGCUGUGCAGGAGCAGUGGUUCUCUGUUGCUGCCACUUUCUGAGACCCUCCAUGAGCUCAGGUCUCUUCCCAGUCCUCAGGUUACUGAGCUCCUGGGCGCCUUGGACCUCUUGGCCAUUUCAGUUCCUCUAGCUUGGCAAAAUAGAAAAACUGGAGGUCAAGCUUAUCUCUCAAAUAACUUUUCAAUGUGUCAGGAGACUUACAUGCAUCCUUAUCACUUAUGUGUUCUUAUCUUGGUUAUAAGUCAGGGUCACUGUGAAUGUUUUAGGCAGUAUUUGAGAGGGGAAAGGCAGUUGAUCAUUGUGGGAAUAGAAGACUGAGCUGUACCUAAAAGCAGAUGUCUUUUCUCAUUAAUGUAGGAAGUUCUGUGUGCCCAGAUCUACUCGUCAUUGCUUGGGAGGUGGGUAAGAGAUUUCGGUUCACCAUCAUUCACUGAUUUACACAGCAGAGGUUAAGUGCCCUUGCUUAUGUUAAUCUUACUUAAUCCUCAAAGCACAGCGAGAGGUGAUCUUACUGGAAGGGAAAAUGAGGCUCAGAGAAUGGAAGCAAAUCACCCAAGGCCACACCACCUGUGAGAGGCAAGCACCAGCCUUCAAACCCCAGACUGAUGGGGCUUCUCUUUCCAGCUCAAGUACAAGCUCCUAAUGUAAGCAGGUGAUGAAGCAGUCUCUAAGCCCAGGGCAAGGCAAAGGUGACCGGACAAGAAAGGUCCAUGUGGGAGAGCUUCCACCUUUGACUAGGAGAUGAUGCUCUCAGUUGCCAGGAGAAAGUGGGUAAGCAUUUUAUUCAGUACCUAAAAGAUGCGAUAAUGGGGAUGGGGAUUUUCCUUUUUCCAUUUGCUCAAGAGAGUGACCAAAUCCACACUCAUCAUUCAGACACACACGCGUGUGCAGGAGAGAACUAAAACACCAACUUUCAAUGAAUGCUUACUGCAGGAAGGCAGUAUGUGAAGUGUUUUCCAUAGAUGAUUUUUCUCUUAAUUUUUGCUUCAACUCUGUGAGGCAAAUAUUAAUAUCUCCUCUAUUUUACAAAAAAAGAAACUGAGUCCUUUAGGGUCUUUAAGUAUCUCACCUUCAAUGCACAAAGCUUAUGAGAGGCUUCACCCAACUGGGCCAGAGCAGUGCUACCAGUUUCCUGCAGCUCAGUCCACACCAUUUGAAAGAGUCUGUGGGGAGCAGCUCGGACUAGACUGUUACUGGAAUUAAGACUUAUUCUAUGCAUCUGCUCUCCCACAAUAUGGCGCUGGGAGAGAAGUAAACAGCUUCCGCACAGCUGCCUCCAGUUCAACCAAUUAACUGUAGGACUUGCUCCUGAUUGGAGAGCAGCGUACUCGGCGUGUGGGCAGCCGAGUUGGGAUUGGCGGAGGAGGACUAUAAAGGAGGAGAGAGACGGCAUGCACCGGGAACAUCUAUGGGGAACAUCUAGCUGAAGGAACACCCGUGCAGCCCCCGAGAGAGCCGGCCGGCGGUGUGCCGCUCCCCUGCGGAAGUGGGGAAUGCGGCCAGGGGGAACUGCCCUUCCACGGAGGUGGAAGGGAUAGUAGCCAACCCGGGAAGAACCAGCAGCAAACCCGGGGAGGGCCGAGCAGACGAAAGAACAGCGCAGGGUUCAGUGUCGUUCCUCCACGAAGAGGGGGAGCGACAGAGUCCUCUUGUAGAAGUGGAUGCUCUCAAUCUUCCCUCCUGGGUGAAUAAGUUGACAACUUUCAGGCUGACACCUCGAACACUUUCAAUCCAGUCAUAAAAUAGAUACCUCUAUUGGCUCAGGAAUUUCACUUCCAGUGGCUUUUCCUAAGGAAGUUAUCUGGUACAUGUGUGCCAAGGUUAAUGUGUACAUUAUGUUUUGCGCAUAUUAGUUGUUAUCAUUUUUUUUGAAGAUUUAUUUAUUUAUUUGAAAGGUGGAGUUAAAGAGAGUUGGCAGGGGUGAGGGGGUUGGGGAGAGGGAAAGUCUUCCAUCCACUGGUUCACUUCACAAAUGGCUGCAAUAGCCAGAGCAGGACAGAUCUGAAGCCAGGAGCCAGGAGCUUCUUCCGGGUCUCCCAUGCAGGUGCAGGGGUCCAAACACUUGCACCAUCUUCUGCUGCUUUCCCAGCCAUAAUAGAGAGCUGGAUUGGAAAUGGAGCAGCCGGAACUCAAACCUGGUGCCCAGAUGGGAUGCUGGCACUGCAGGUGGCGGCUCUACCCACUACACCACAGCGCCAGUCUCGUUGUUAUCAAUUUUUUAAUGUUAUGUAAGCUAGACAGGCUAGAUGCAUUAUGGUACAUCCAUACUAGAAAUUCUGUGACAUCAUGAAACAUGUUAUAGAAGAAUAUUUGGUAGCAAGGGGACACUAAUAUGACACAUGAUGUGAACAGAAGCAGAUGAUAUCCUGAUUGUGUAAUGAACAUACAGGGUAAACAAUAUGUAUUGGAAAAUAUUAAAAGAAAUGCACUAAACCAUGUUUAAUUUGCUUCAAGGCUGACAACAGACCUUCUUCAGCCAGAGGUUCCCUGCAGGGUAUUCGUGAGGUUCCAUAGGGACCCUGUCAUCCUGUUGCACACUGAACAAUGAUCAGACUUCUGAAUCUGGGCAGCAAAUCCCAAAAUUAUGCUGGUCUUCUGACCACGUAUGCACCUUGGCAUUGCUCAUCACACUUCACCCACACAAGUCCUUUUAUGUUCUUCACUUGUACCCACUCAACCCUGACCCUACUCCUAUGCAAGGCCUUUACAUGUGUGACUCUUCUGCCUGGAAUAUCUCCCCCCCACCAUGACUGUCUCUUUUCUUCAGGUCUCAGCUUAAAUGUCCCAUCUUGAGGGGCUCCUUCCAUGACUGCCAGCUGUAAUGUUGCCAGCCCCUUUUAUUCUCUCACAUCCUGCCUUUCUUCCUUUUCAGCACUCAUCAUGAUUUGCCAUGAUACAGUCAUGUGUGUUUGACUUGUUCAGUGUACAGUUUCCUAUAGCAUCUAAGCCCCAUGAGGGUAAAAUUCACACCUAUUUUAUUCACCCUGGUUUACCAGGUGCCUACUGAAAAGCUAUUCAUGGUAGGUGUUCAACAAAUAUGUGAUGGAUGAAUGAAUGAAUGAAUGAAUGAACAAGGUCAACAGAAAACUAUUAUUCCUCUACCUAGAAUAGUGCCGUGCAGGUUUAGAAGCUUGUUGGAGAAGGAAGACAGGGGCCAGGCAGAAGGUGACUAUAAUCAGAAUAGCAUACAGUGCAUGCAUGAUUCAUAUAAGGAAAUACUUCACUUAUCUCCAAGACAUUGUCUAAGAAUGGCUCAUUGGGUUUGAACUGUGUCCUACAUCCUUCAAAUAAUAUGACCUGAAGAAAAAUAUCACUGAGCACAGGUCCCCCAUUAUUCUAAGGGUGUCUGGGGCCAGGGAUGUGGGUCAGUCUGGAGCCAGCAAUGCUGCUCUCUCAGCAAAUUUUUUUAAAAAAGAUUUAUUUGUUUAUUUGAAAGGCAGAAAAACACACACACAGAGAGAAAGAGGGUGGGGGGAGAGAGAGAGGGAGAGAAUCUUCCAUCCAGUGGUUUACUCCCCAAGUGCCUGCAAUGGCCAGGGCUGGGCCAGGCCAAAGCCAGGAGCCCGGAGCUUCACCCAGGUCUCUCAUGUGGGUGCAGGGGCCUAAAUCAUCUUCUGCUGCUUUCCCAGGCAUGUUAGCGGGGAGCUGGGUCAGAAGUGGAGCUGCUGGAACUCAAACUGAUGUCCAUAUAGGAUGCUGGUGCUGCAGGCGGAGAGUUAAUCUUCUACACCACAGUGCUGCCCUAUCUCAGCAAAUUUUGACUUUCUUCAUUGAGCAAGAGGAGAGAAACUGCUCUGCUAUGGUCCCGGGACUUCUCCAGAAUCUUCCAGGGAGUAGUUCUCAAGGAGAGCUCAUCAUGUCGCCUGAAGGACUGAAUGAAAGACUAAAAUGAGGGAAAAGGGAAUGAAAGAACAAAUCACUUUCAUGCUAGAGGAGAAACCUUGGGGGGUGGGUGUUUGCCCUGGUAGUUAAGAUGCUGGGUUGGGUGCCUGCAUCCCAUACUGGAGUACAUGUGUUGAAGUCCCAGCUCUGGUCCCAAUUUCAGCUUCCUGCUAAUGAGCACCCUGGGAGGCAGCAGGUGAUGGCUCAAGUAGUUGGCUCCCUGCUUCCACAUGGGAAACCCUGAUUGAGUUCCUGGGUCUUGGUUUCAGCCUGGCCAGCCUCAGCAGUUACAGGCAUUUAAGGAGUGAACUACCAGAUGGGAGAACUCUCUCUCUCCCCCACCCCCUUCCCCCAUCUCUCUCUCUUCCUACCUCUCAAAAAAAAAAAAAAAGUUAUGAAAAAACAAUAGAAACUGAGACUGGUGCAGUGACAUACUGAGUUAAGCCCCAGCCAUUGGUGCUGGCAUCCUAUAUGGGUGCCAGUGGGAGUCCUGGCUGCUCCACUUCCAAUCCAGCUCCCUGCUAAUGCACCUGGGAAAUCAGCAGAAGAUGGCCCAAGGAUUUGGGCCUCUGCCACCCAUAUAGGAGACGCGGACGAAGCUCCUGGAUCUUAGCUUCAGCCUGGUCCAACCCUGGUGGUUGAGACCAUUUGGUGAGUGAAUCAGUGGAUGGACAAUCUCUCU